AAACCUGUACCAUAGAUGGUGAAAGUCCAGUCGUUGAAUCACUACCAACAACCGCCGUUUGGCUCCCGAGUAGUAUGGGACACGUGAAAUCCCGUAUGAAUUUGCGAGGACCACCUCGUAAGGCUAAAUACUCCUAAGUCACCGAUAGCGAAUAGUACCGCGAGGGAAAGGUGAAAAGAACCCCUUUACGGGGAGUGAAAUAGAACAUGAAACCGUAUGCUUACAAUUUGUGGGAGGAUGAACACAUCUGACCGCAUGCCUGUUGAAGAAUGAUCUGGCGACUUAGAAGAAGUGGCAGGUUAAGAUUUUCCAUCGAAGCCAAAGCGAAAGCAUGUCUGAUAAGGGCUCUCGUCCCUUCUUCUAGACCCGAACCCAGGUGAUCUAACCAUGACCAGAAUGAAGCUUUGGUGAUACGAAGUGGAGGUUCGAACCGACCGAUGUUAAAAAAUCGACGGAUGAGUUGUGGUUAGGGGUGAAAUGCCAAUCGAACUUGGAGCUAGCUGGUUCUCCUCGAAAUGCGUUGAGGCGCAGCGGUCGAUUAUGGGCUUCUAGGGGGUAAAGCGCUGUCUCGGUGCGGGCUGCGAAAGCGGUACCAAUCUGUUGCAAACUCGGAAUACCUAGAACGCUUUCAAUCGGCCAGUGAGACUGCGGGGGAUAAGCUCCGUAGUCAAGAGGGAAACAGCCCAGACCACCAGCUAAGGCUCCUAAAUAAAAGCUAAGUGGCAAAGGAGGUGAAAAUGCAGUGACAAUCAGGAGGUUUGCCUAGAAGCAGCCACCCUUUAAAGAGUGCGUAAUAGCUCACUGAUCAAGCGUUUUCGCGCCGAAAAUGACCGGAACUAAGUUUUUUGCCGAAGCUGUGGCUACAUCACAUAGAUGAUGUAGGGUAGAGGAGCGUUCCGUCCAGGGGGAAGCCAAGCGCGUAAGCCGCGGUCGACAGGACGGAAGUGAGAAUGUCAGAUUGAGUAACGUAAACAUUGGUGAGAAUCCAAUGCCCCGAAAACUCAAGGGUUCCUGCGCAAGGCUCGUCCGCGCAGGGUCAGUCAGGACCUAAGGUGAGGCCGAAAGGCGUAAUUGAUGGCAAGAAGGUUUAUAUUCCUUCACUAAUCUAGGCUUAGUCCUGAGGGACGAACAA
rnacentral:rRNA from 1 species